ensembl:processed_transcript 2610203C22Rik RIKEN cDNA 2610203C22 gene
GCAGAGCAGUCUGCUGGCAAGAGCCUGGACAGGCCCUAGAGAACGAAGAGGACGAAGAUGACAAGCAGCUUUGAAUUCCUUCUGUUUUCAUGUUGAGCAGCAGCUGCUGCUAGAGCCUGGUAUGUCUGAGAUGAUUCCCACUCAUCACUGACUCUCUUGGGUGAGAGGAAGCGCCACACUCAUCCCUAGAAGAGUAUGAAGAAAAAGUGGAGUGAUUCAGAAUUGAGAGCAUCAUUCUGUCCGUGGGAGCUCUCUGCUCAAAGGUUCUUGAGAGCCUCCAGGGUGAAGCAAGGCAUGGAAAGAGAUGUGCUUCACCCACUGAGGCCUCUACAAAAGCUGCAAAUAAUUCUUCCUAGAAAGUAACUCCCCGGCAGUGAAAACUUAGUUUAAGGUACAAUGAUGGAUGAAUAUAGGAUCAAAUAUUUAUCUUUAAUUAAACAUAUUCAUGGCCACACACACAUGCAGGCUGAAAACUCAAAUCACUUUGUAUGUGACAUGUUUAAUGGUGUGUGAUUGUACCAACUCCAUUACAACUGUUCUAUGUAUCAGUCUAUGUAUUCCCCAUGAGAAUCCUGGAAGCUAAACCCUGUUUUUCUCUUUUACAGAAGUGGGAACUCUUGCCCGGAGAGAUUAUUUAGCUGGGCCAAGGUCACACAGUACAGAAAAGACAGAACCAGGUUGUCAAGGUCUUUUCCUCCCUUGCUUUUUACAAGAAAGAGACAUACCUUUUCUUUUCUCUUGAGAACAGUGUGCUGCUCUAUGCCCCAGUUGGCCUUGGACCUGACAAUUCUCAGCUUUCUUGGGUUAUAGAUAUGAGCCACUCUUCUCAGUGGAAGCAGUCAUAAUCUUCACUUUCCAAAAAUUAACAGUGAGAUUAGACCCCUUCUCACCUUCUCCUAUCUUCCUUCCACCCUUCUCCAGGGCCACUGACCUCACUGAUUUUAUAACACAUGGGUCCUUCUAGUCUUGUUUGCAUGUGUUGCUCCAAAAAUGUACCCAUAAAUACUAUGCACAAUUAUCUUAGAGUUCCAAGUAUGCUACUAAGCAUAGAUUGGUUUUCAGCUUGCUUUUUCUUUCCCCUUCAACACUGAUCUAUAGGUCUUAUGUGGUAGAUCAGCGGUAUAGCUCUUGCUUACCUUGCAUGGACAACUGGUUCACCACUAGCAAUGCAACCCCACCCUACCCCCCCAAAAAACCCACAGAAACAAAAGGCAGAGAUAAAGUAAAUGGAAAGGCCACCUCUAUACACACAGAUCUAAUUCAUUCCUCUUCAGAAGGGUUGACUUUCAGAAUCUCCAGAGCGAAUUUCAACUCCUACACAUGGGCACACUCCCAACUUCCCCUUUCCUCCCUUUCCCUCAGUAGUAGAUGUUGAGAGCUCAAUUUAUGUUUAGCUGUUUGCCUGUGCCCAGGCUGAGUCUCCACCCCUGGUAACCCCCCUCAGUAUUGGACAGAGGAAGAAAAGAAUAGUUUGAAUGUGUGCUCCCAGCACUAGCAAACAUUCAAACCAUUUUAGCCAAAUAUCACAGUCAAGCCAGGCGUAAGCCUGUGCCACAGCAGGACAAGGGGCUACAGGGUCAGAACAAUGGCAAGGUAAAGCUGACUGGAUCAUCGGCCCUUCCUCAAAUUUGGACUCACAAGCCCUUCCCAGGGAUCCGCACCAAUGGCCAGGACCCAGAGGUUAUAACGUCAAGAUUCCCUUUUGGUAGUUCCCUUUGUGGUCCUAUGGAUAAGUCAGCCUGGGGUCAGCUUCAUUGCCUUUCUGGGUGUUUGAUUGCCUUUCUGGAGUCUUUUCCCUCCCAAGUCAGAUGGAGUUGGCUUUGGAACGGCUGAUUCUCUCUUCAGAACCUGCCCUUUUUUUUUCCUUUACCGGAGACAAUAAGAAAGCUUAUUAGGCUGCCCUGGAAAUUUUGUUUCCAUCGUUGUCUCUUUAACAAUCACUUAUUGUCCCAGCCUUUGAGCCUGCUGGGUUGUCCGUUUCGAAUUAAGUGAAGCAGGAAGGCUAUGCUGUCCUCGUCCCCGCCUGAAUAGAUUGUUUCCCUAUGAUUGAUGUUUAUCCUUGUGCCCCUCUUCAGAAAAGGGGGACAUCAAAUGACAUCGACACGAAGAAGCCAGCAGACCUCGGGACCCGAGGGUACCAAGUACUAGUGUACCUUAGUCCGACAGCACCGGGUCACCUCCCGCAUAAGAUGCCACAAUAGGGGACGCCAAGAGCGGUUGUUAGGAUUAUUACUCACCCUUGGAAGGAAUCACCGUGGUGAAAACUUCAAUAUUCUCAUCACUGCAGCUGUAGAUCUGAUGCAUGGUCUCAGCCCCCUGCCCUGCAGGGUGUCCGGGAGCCCGUGGCCUCUCUCUGGAGCCCUAGUCCCAGGGUCUCCUAAGCCAGUCUGGCUCUGUGAUCAUUGUGCAGGUCCACAAAAGGCAGGCUGCCUGUGCCUCUCAUGACAGUCUCACCGCAGCAACAUUUCCUAAUCCCAUCUGUCUUUUUUUUUUUCUUUCUUUCUUUCUUUCUUUCUUUCUUAAAUGACUCCUAUUAUUGCAAACCUUUGAUUGAACACGGAGCCUUCCGUCUCUCCCUCUCAGCUAGGAUGUACUUAACAAUUUUAUUUUCCAGUGUCUGCCGCAGUGAAUUUGGAAGUCUUUUGUGAAGUGACGAAGUGAAUUCGCCUACUCAGUUAGCGCACAGCUUGGCUGGAGGAUUUCACAGAAGAGGAAUAGACGAAACGUCAGUUUUGCUAUCAGUGUGCCCGGGUCUCAUUCCAGAAAGGAAGGGCUUUUUCUCCUCCUCCAGGGGAACAGGAUCUUCAUUUGUCAUAUGUUAACUCCGCUCCCUUCAAAGUUUCUAUUUUAAAUAAAAGGACUGUUUUUUCACCACAUAUUUUUCUCAAUCCACUUUGACAACAAGGCUUACAUUUCAGGAGGUGAGAGUUUAGUGUUUCUUUGUACAACCCUACAGGUAUGCAUAGUCACGCAACAGGCAGUGCACACACCAAGGGACCCGUUUAUAGGAUAGUUAUAUUUUAUUAUCUUCUAUAUUGGAAUGUAUUUAUUGCCUUAUCUUUUUAUGUUAUAUAGUCUAUGGGUAUGCUAUAUUUUCCUCAUAUAAUCUUUCCUAAUAUAUACACAAAUAAAUGUCAUGGUAGCUAUACAUUUCAUAAACAUAUAUAAGCAUAUGCAUUUUAUCCAAUCCCACUACUUUUUAUUAUGCUACACAGUUUCACACCAUAAGACUGAUGGAGUGUAAUGAAAUUAACAGUGACAGCUGCCCUAUUAAAUAUUAGUUACAAGUCAUGGAGCUAGCUAUAUGAUAUCAUUGAGUAUCUAUAACUAACCAAUGGCUCUAGCUAAUUAUUAUUUUACCGUGGUAUUCUCAAGAAACUGAAGUAUGAAGACUUUAGCUUCUUUAAUGAUUAAAAUAGCUAAUUUGCACCAAAAUUGGAUUUAAUCUCUAGAUUGACUGAAAAGUUAAUAAACUAGCUCCUC